UGUUAUUUUGGUUAAUUAAUUACAUGGAAAACUAAAAGAGAAGCAUAAAUAUUCUUCCCAGACACUUUUACACAACCCUAGCUUUAGCUCCCUCUAUAACAAGGUAUAGUAUAUAUAUAUAUAUAUGUAUAUAUAUAAUAUGAGAGCUAUGGCUAUGGCUAUGGCUAUUCCCUAGUGAAGAAAAAGGGUUGGUGAAUUAGGGGUUUGGUUUGAUAUUAGGGUUGUGCCUAGCUGAGAUCAUAUCAUAUCAUAAAAAUGGGAGUAUAUGCAUGCCUCCUAAUUUCCCUCUUAUUAAUUCUUCAAACUGUUUGGAUUUCAUCCCUUUCUAAUGCUUCCAAUAAUUCUUUUCCAUAUGAAUCUCUUUCCAACCCUCCUCUCCAAACCCAUCAUCUUCAUCAACAACCACGCUUGGUGAAAGGAGGGGGUGGCAAAGAAGAGAAUAAUAAGACGGCCGCGGAGAGUUGGACUGUUUCAAAGGCUAAAGGGGGCGGAAGGUCCGGCGCCGGCGGGGCAGGAGCCAACAACCACCGGCCGGGAAAGGCGAAGAACGCAGCUUCCACUUUGAUGAACUCAAAUAACAACAUAAUAAUAAUUACCACUCUUCUCCUCUCUUCCUUUUUAUACUUGUUUUAAAUCUUCUUUUUUUCACUCAUUGAAAUAUGGAAUAAGAUCAAAACCCUAUUUAUAUAUACACACAUACAUCUUUUUGUUUGAGUAAA